rnacentral:rRNA from 1 species
GACGAACCGUGCAAACGUUAUUCGGAAUCACUGGGCAUAAAGGGCGCGUAGGCGGCUUUCUAAGUCAGGGUGAAAUCCGGCAGCUCAACUGUCGCAGUGCCUUUGAUACUGGAGAGCUCGAGGGAGGUAGGGGUCUGUGGAACUUCCGGUGGAGCGGUGAAAUGCGUUGAUAUCGGAAGGAACGCCGGUGGCGAAAGCGACGGACUGGAUCUCUUCUGACGCUGAGGCGCGAAAGCCAGGGGAGCAAAGCGGGGAU